rnacentral:rRNA from 1 species
AGUGAACGCUGGCGGUAGGCCUAACACAUGCAAGUCGAACGGCAGCACAGUAAGAGCUUGCUCUUACGGGUGGCGAGUGGCGGACGGGUGAGGAAUACAUCGGAAUCUACUUUUUCGUGGGGGAUAACGUAGGGAAACUUACGCUAAUACCGCAUACGACCUACGGGUGAAAGCAGGGGAUCUUCGGACCUUGCGCGAUUGAAUGAGCCGAUGUCGGAUUAGCUAGUUGGCGGGGUAAAGGCCCACCAAGGCGACGAUCCGUAGCUGGUCUGAGAGGAUGAUCAGCCACACUGGAACUGAGACACGGUCCAGACUCCUACGGGAGGCAGCAGUGGGGAAUAUUGGACAAUGGGCGCAAGCCUGAUCCAGCCCUACCGCGUGGGUGAAGAAGGCCUUCGGGUUGUAAAGCCCUUUUGUUGGGAAAGAAAAGCAGCAGGUUAAGACCCCGCUGUUCUGACGGUACCCAAAGAAUAAGCACCGGCUAACUUCGU